rnacentral:tRNA from 1 species
GUGAGUUUAGUUUAAUUAAAAACACUUGAUUUGCAAUCAAAAUAUCUAAGUUCGAGCCCUAGAGCCCACA